rnacentral:rRNA from 1 species
AAAUUGAAGAGUUUGAUCAUGGCUCAGAUUGAACGCUGGCGGCAGGCCUAACACAUGCAAGUCGAACGGUAACAGGAAGAAGCUUGCUUCUUUGCUGACGAGUGGCGGACGGGUGAGUAAUGUCUGGGAAACUGCCUGAUGGAGGGGGAUAGCUACUGGAAACGGUAGCUAAUACCGCAUAACGUCGCAAGACCAAAGAGGGGGACCUUCUGGCCUCUUGCCAUCGGAUGUGCCCAGAUGGGAUUAGCUAGUAGGUGGGGUAACGGCUCACCUAGGCGACGAUCCCUAGCUGGUCUGAGAGGAUGACCAGCCACACUGGAACUGAGACACGGUCCAGACUCCUACGGGAGGCAGCAGUGGGGAAUAUUGCACAAUGGGCGCAAGCCUGAUGCAGCCAUGCCGCGUGUAUGAAGAAGGCCUUCGGGUUGUAAAGUACUUUCAGCGGGGAGGAAGGGAGUAAAGUUAAUACCUUUACUCAUUGACGUUACCCGCAGAAGAAGCACCGGCUAACUCCGUGCCAGCAGCCGCGGUAAUACGGAGGGUGCAAGCGUUAAUCGGAAUUACUGGGCGUAAAGCGCACGCAGGCGGUUUGUUAAGUCAGAUGUGAAAUCCCCGGGCUCAACCUGGGAACUGCAUCUGAUACUGGCAAGCUUGAGUCUCGUAGAGGGGGGUAGAAUUCCAGGUGUAGCGGUGAAAUGCGUAGAGAUCUGGAGGAAUACCGGUGGCGAAGGCGGCCCCCUGGACG